rnacentral:misc_RNA from 1 species
GAAAUGCGAUAAGUAGUGUGAAUUGCAGAAUUCAGUGAAUCAUCGAAUCUUUGAACGCACAUUGCGCCCCUUGGUAUUCCAUGGGGCAUGCCUGUUCGAGCGUCAUUUGUACCCUCAAGCUCUGCUUGGUGUUGGGUGUUUGUCCCCGUCUCCGCGCGUGGACUCGCCCCAAAGUGAUUGGCAGCCGGCGUACUGGUCCCGGAGCGCAGCACAUGUCGCGCAAACGAGUGCCUUGGUACGGCGGCGUCCAUAAGCCCCUCCCUCACGCUCUUGACCUCGGAUCAGGUAGGGAUACCCGCUGAACUUAAGC